rnacentral:lncRNA from 10 species
GGAAGGGAAGGUGAAGCAGGCUGCCUGUGGUGUGGCUUCUUUGAUUGCUUUGAUGUCUCUUGCAUAGCAAUAAGGGCCUGGGCCGCUCCCACCUGAUAUUCUCGUUCCCUGCAUUGUGCUCUUCUCCACAAACUAGGGGUUUCUCAUCCUAAACUAUUUAUGGAUGAAAUGGUGACAAAUGUGCAUCAGCAUAAUCCAGUGUGUGUUCCAGGUGGUGGGGAAGAAACAAGGUGUGCCGUGCGCUGACUGCCGCUGCAGGUGGGAUGGAGGCGCAGGGGCCCACUGUGCCUUUGCUUUACUUUUGGGUAUAUCUGGAAUGCCCCCGUUGGAAGUUAUUUUGUUUGUUUGUUUGAGACAGGGUCUCGGAUCUCGCUCUAUCCCAGGCUGGAGUGCAGUGGCACCAUCAUGGUUCAUGGCAGCCUCGACCACCCAGGCUCAAGUGAUCCUCCUGCCUCAGCCCCCCAAGUCUCUGAGACUACAGGUGUGCAACACCACGCCCUGCUAAUUUUUAAAAUUUUUUGAUCUUUGAGGUCUUAAUUUGUUGUACAGGCAGGUCUUGAACUCCUGGGCUCAAGCGAUCCUCCCGCCUUGGUCUCCCAAAGUGCUGGGAUUACAGGCGUGAGCCCCCGUGCCUGGCCCCUGACGGAAGUUAGGUAUUUCUUCCCUCACUUCAGAGAGGCCUUCCCUGUCCACCCCAUCUGGGCAGGACCCUCACUAUUAUCUAUCACAGCGGCCUGCUUUCUUCGGGGCAUAUAUCACAAUUUGUAAUUACAUAUCUGUUAACUUGUUUAAGGCUGUCUCUCCAGCCCUGUGAGAACAGGGAUGGUGUCUGCUCUGCUCACAGCUGCCUCCCAGGCUUCCAGCAUGAUGCACAAGAUUCGGAAGGAGCAGACGGCUGUAUCUGAGACAGUGUGUGUACUGUGUAUGCAUAGAUGUCUUGGGGAGGCCAGGCGUGGUGGCUCAUGCCUGUAAUCCCAGCAAAUUGGGAGGCCAAGGUGGGAGGAUUGCUUGAGCCCAGGAGUUGAAGACCUCGCUGGGCGAGGUGGCUCACCCCUGCAAUCCCAGCACUUUGGGAGGCCAAGGUGCGGGGAUCACUUCAGGUCAGGAGAUCAAGACCAGCCUGGCUAACAUGGUGAAACCCCAUCUCUACUAAAAAUACAAAAAUUAGCCUGGUGUGGUGGCAUGCACCUGUAAUUCUAGCUACUCGGGAGGCUGAAGCAGGAGAAUUGCUUGAACCCAGGAGGUGGAGGCUACAGUAAGCCGAGAUUGCAUGCCUGUACUCCAGCCUGGGUGACAGAGCAAGACUCUGUCUCAAAAAAAAAGAAAGACUAGUCUGGGCAACAUGGCGAAACCCCAUCUCUACAAAAUCUUAAAAAUCAGCCAGGUGUGAUGGUGCAUACCUGUAGUCUCAGCUACUUAGGGGCCUGAGGCAGGAGGAUCGAUUAAGUCCCGGAGGUGGAGGCUGCAGUUAGCCGUGAUUGUGCCACUGCACUCCAUCCUGGGUGACAGAUUGAGACUCUAUCCCCGCCCCCAGCCCCCAAAAAAAGAUGUCUCUUGGGAGAUAAGAAGGUGUUAACCAUGGUUUCCUCUGGGAUAUAGGAGACAAGGGCUGAGGACAUUUAAUCUGUUACUCUGGGCUCGGCUUUGCCGUUUGAAUUCUCUUUUACCAUGAACUACUUUUUACACCAGAGACAUUUCAAAUAGGAGAGAGAAAUUGGAAGAAAAUCCACCAAGGCAUGAACCGUGAUUAUUUCUGGAUGGCGAGGUUACGGGUGAUUCUACUUUUUUCCUGAAUGCUUUUCUGCAUUUGUCUAUGAUUAUCAUGAAUUAAUUUGAUGAUCAAAAUAAAUCUGAAUGUGAACCAACCCUUCUGUGGCCUUGUCUGGGCCUGUCAGGAGGUGGUGCCUGUCGGCUCAGCAGCACCAGCCUCAGACCCAGCCCCUCACACCGCCUUGCCUGUGUACCGGUUCCUCUGCCUGCGACUCCCUGGCACUAGUCUAUGUGGACGUCACAGCAUGGCCCCUGACUUGGCUCAGCCAUCCCUGUCCACUCUGGGAAGCUCCCUUGACCCCCAGCCCAGGCUGGCAGAGGGGGUAUCCCCCAGGGUCCCUGGCUUCCCCCUGGUUGGGCUUGAGAAUUUUUUUUUUUUUUUGAGACGGAGUCUCGCUCUGUCCCCCAGGCUGGAGUGCUGUGGC